rnacentral:lncRNA from 1 species
CUUUUUGAUCCAGAAAAUAGUAGUCAUGUUUUGGUCAUUCUGAGAUAGUCAUGGAAAAUUACAACACAGAUGUUCAUACGGGAUCUUCCUUCUAUUGCCCAGUGCCCCGUGAAGCCCUUGAACAAAACCAGAAGAAAGUGAAAAAUAAACAGCCUUAUACGGUUGUCAUCAUCCUAUCCCCAGUGAUGGAGCCAUACUUGGGUCUGAAAUAUUUUGACACAGAUGAAGCAAGUCUUUGCAAUUUCCAAAGGAAAGGCUUCUGUGACACACUCUCUUGUUUGAAGGAGUGACAAUAACCUGAGAAUUGCUGGAAAUACGAAUCCUAACAUGAUGAAUUCCCAAGUAUUUUAAAUGAUAAUAAAAUAUUUCCAGCUCAAGUAGAUAUUCAAAUGAGAGCGAUGUUGCUAAGAGCUGAGCCUUGGAAAAGGCCUGGAAAACGCUGCAGUAAAAACUCUCCGGACUUUCUCUGUGUAUUCUCUAACUCAACUGGCAACAUGAGCCACUAAAUGAUGCUAAAGACACAGGUUUCAUUGCAUUCUUGACUUUUUUGCUCUUCGGCCAAAUGUCAGCGCCCCCA